UACGUAGGGGGCUAGCGUUGUCCGGAAUCAUUGGGCGUAAAGCGCGUGUAGGCGGUCCGGUAAGUCCGCUGUGAAAGUCGAGGGCUCAAACCUCGAAUGCCGGUGGAUACUGUCGGGCUUGAGUACGGGAGAGGCGAGUGGAAUUCCUGGUGUAGCGGUGAAAUGCGCAGAUAUCAGGAGGAACACCGAUUGCGAAAGGCAGCUCGCUGGAACGUUACUGACGCUGAGGGACGAAAGCUAGGGGAGCAAACAGG
rnacentral:rRNA from 1 species